rnacentral:rRNA from 1 species
UCCGUAGGUGAACCUGCGGAGGGAUCAUUACCGAGUUUACAACUCCCAAACCCAUGUGAACAUACCUACUGUUGCUUCGGCGGGAUUGCCCCGGGCGCCUCGUGUGCCCCGGAUCAGGCGCCCGCCUAGGAAACUUAAUUCUUGUUUUAUUUUGGAAUCUUCUGAGUAGUUUUUACAAAUAAAUAAAAACUUUCAACAACGGAUCUCUUGGUUCUGGCAUCGAUGAAGAACGCAGCGAAAUGCGAUAAGUAAUGUGAAUUGCAGAAUUCAGUGAAUCAUCGAAUCUUUGAACGCACAUUGCGCCCGCCAGUAUUCUGGCGGGCAUGCCUGUCUGAGCGUCAUUUCAACCCUCAUGCCCCUAGGGCGUGGUGUUGGGGAUCGGCCAAAGCCCGCGAGGGACGGCCGGCCCCUAAAUCUAGUGGCGGACCCGUCGUGGCCUCCUCUGCAAAGUAGUGAUAUUCCGCAUCGGAGAGCGACGAGCCCCUGCCGUUAAACCCCCAACUUUCCAAGGUUGACCUCAGAUCAGGUAGGAAUACCCGCUGAACUUAAGCAUAUCAAUAAGCGGAGGA